AAAAGGCAUAGUAAAACUAGCCCUAAAGGUCGUUCCCCUCCAGGGAACUAUUUUCCUUCGACUGGUUCCCCUGAAAUACCCUUCCGGAGUAUCAAAUUCUUACGGCCAGACGGAGAAAAUAGCAGCGGCGAUGGAGGCUGAGCUGAAAGAGAUGUUAAGCGAUCUCGAAGCUCUCGAACGGUCGUUGCCUGAUCCUUCUCAUCGCUCGUCGAUCGACAAGAUGCGAUUGCACCUAGAACAUCUCACUGAUCUUGCAAAGUCUGCACCUAUUCGGCGAUCAAAAGUCAAGGCUAUGAGUGCUGAGGUGGUAGAUAGCAAUCCUUACAGCAGGCUUAUGGCACUUCAGAGGAUGGGUAUUGUGGAGAAUUAUGAAAGAAUACGAGAAUUCUCUGUUGCCAUAGUUGGAAUAGGAGGUGUAGGCAGUGUUGCAGCUGAGAUGCUAACAAGGUGUGGCAUUGGCCGCCUUUUGUUGUAUGAUUAUGACACAGUGGAGUUGGCAAACAUGAAUAGGCUAUUCUUUCGUCCAGAGCAGGUUGGUAUGACAAAGACUGAUGCUGCUGUUCAGACCCUUUCAGAAAUCAAUCCUGAUGUGGUGCUUGAGAGCUAUACAUUGAACAUCACAACACUGCAAGGUUUUGAGACUUUUAUGUCAAGCCUUCGAAACAAAAGCUUCUGCCCGAGCAAGGAAGGUAGUGGCGUGGAUCUUGUACUAAGCUGCGUAGAUAAUUAUGAAGCAAGGAUGGUUGUAAAUCAGGCUUGCAACGAAUUGAAUCAAACAUGGAUGGAGUCUGGUGUAUCUGAGGAUGCUGUUUCAGGUCAUAUACAACUGCUAAUUCCUGGAGAAACUGCCUGUUUUGCAUGUGUACCACCUUUGGUUGUAGCAUCUGGAGUAGAUGAACGGACACUUAAGCGUGAAGGGGUUUGUGCUGCAUCCUUACCUACUACCAUGGGGGUUGUUGCUGGGCUUUUAGUUCAAAACACACUCAAGUAUUUGCUGAAGUUUGGACGUGUUUCACCUUACCUGGGAUAUAAUGCUCUCAGAGACUAUUUCCCAACAAUGGAAAUGAAGCCAAACCUUCAAUGUUCCAAUGCAGCUUGUCUAGAACGGCAGAAAGAAUAUAAUCUUGCAAAGCCAGUGAGGGAUGCUGCAGCUAAAGCAAAGGCAGAAGUAGCACCGGCAACAGAGUGCCCAGUUCAUGCUGACAAUGAAUGGAACAUAAGUGUUGUUGAUGAUAACAAGCCAGUUAAAGCACAUGCCAGAAGUUCAGCUAAAAUAGUGAGCACAACCUUUAUCUGGGGAAAGAAUAAGCGGAGGGUGAGGAUGUCAGUGCCCCCAAGAAGGGGAAAGCUCCCCUUGACCCCUCUCCCGUUGGGGAAGGGGAGUCUAACCGACUUUCUAGGAGGAAGAAGACUUCUCAACCCUCGAGACAACUGACUGGAGCACCCAAUUCUCCCCCAUAUUGUCCAGACCACGUUCCUAACUAGGGAGUGAAGGAAAAUGAUCUCAGUCGGAACAUCCAAGUAGCGAGACGAAUGAUUCACCACUUUGCAACUCCUGCUGACCGUUAAGUACUAGCUAAACAUUCCUCGGAGGCAGUGGAGACCGCCUUGUGUAAGCAUCUAGCCCAGGUGGUCACGUUUGUCUCAAACGUCUCUGGACGCUUUGCCCAGGCUUCUAAGAAGACCCUUGAACUAAACACUCAAUUACACGAGAGGGACGAGAUAGUAGAAAGUCAGAGGAAGGACUUAGAGAAGUUGACCUCCGAGCGACAGUCUUUGGGCCAACGCAUUCAGGAGCUUGAGGAGGAGCUAUCCCAGGCAAACUUCCUCAAUCGUAGAUACGAACGCAAGUAUGCCGAGCCCACCAAACUUCCUGAGGUGGAGGAGUUCAUCCAGCAGAACCUACAAGAGGCUUGGAGGAAGGGAUUCCAAGCCCAUGCUAUCGAGGUUUUACGAGUACAUCCGGAGUUGGACAUGUCCAAUGUUCGAUCCAUUGAAGAGAUUGUGGCCGAGUUAGAGGAGGACUCGGAGAUGGCGGACGAUGAAAACACUUAUCUUGAUGCUUGAGUUUUUUUUUCAUUUUCUAGUUAGAACUUUUUGUAUUUCCUUCGACAUCAUGUAUUGGAGUACUCGUUUUUUUAUAAUGCAAUUCUACUUUGACUCUUCACUUCUUGAUUGCGAAUAUACGAGCUAGGACUAGUUGAAUCCUGAUCCUUUGCACAGUAAGGGGGAAUUAGUUCGACCUUUGGUCCUCUUUUAGUUAACAGAUUAAAGGGGAUGGUUUAGGGCUCUUAACUCUUGAAUUUUAGCCGCUCCCUUAUGGAGGAGGGUGUUAGACUCUGAGGUUUUUUUUCAGCCGUUAGUCCACCAUGACUUGGGGACGACCUAGGGCUCUUGACCCUUGAAUUUUAGUCACUCCCUCACUGAGAAGGGUGUUGGGCUCUGAGUUUUUUCGGGCCAUUAGUCCACCUUGACUUGGGGAUGGCCUAGAGCUCUUGGUCCUUGGAUUUUAGCCACUCUCUCGCGGAUGAGGGUGUUAGGCUCUAAGUUUUUUCAGGCCAUUAGUCCACCCUGACUUGGGGACAACCUAGGGCUCUUGACUCUUGGAUUUUAGACAUUCCCUAGCGGAGGAGGGUGUUGAGCUUUGCGUUUUUUCGGGCCAUUAGUCCACCCUAACUUGAGGACAGCCUAGGGCUCUUGACCCUUGAAUUUUUCUUUGGCUAAUUGUUAACCUUUGUGAGAUUAUUAUUGGAUGGAGAGAAUCCGAAGUCUUGCCAUUAGUCGUAAAAAGAGUACAAAAAGGUUCGGGGCAUUCCCCUUCUUAUUGAUAAAACUUCCUUAAGUUUUGCACAUUUUAGAUAUGCUUCAAGAGCUUGCCUUCCAUAUCUUCUAGUCGAUAUGCCCCCAGACUUAACGAUUCCACCACCUGGUACGGUCCUUUUCAAUUCAGGGUUAGCUUAUUCGCGUCUUGAGGAUGACUCACGUCAAACCGUCGCAGCACAAGAUCUCCUGGCAUGAAACUCCUGACGUGCACUCGUCAGUUGUAGUACCUAGCAAUGCGCUAGUUAUAUGCAGCUUGUUGAAUCCACGCCAGAUCUCGGAGUUCAUCCAUCAAGUCUAAGUUGCACCUUAGCCCUUGCUUGUUCACCUCAGGAUCGAAAUGCUCCACUCGGUAGCUAGUUACCCUGAUCUCGACAAGAAUAAGAGCCUCCGAGCUAUAACACAAUGUAAAAGGGCAUUCUCCUGUAGCUGUUCGUAGUGUGGUUCGAUAGAACCAUAGUAUGUUGGGGGGAAGCUCAUUUACCCAUCAGUUGUCCGCUUUCUCAACCCGAGCUCAAAGUCUCUAAAGAAUGGUCAUGUUUAUCAGCUCUACUUGCCCAUUAGCUUGAGAAUGGGCCACUUAGGUAAAAUGUUGUUUAAUCCCCAACUUGCGACACCAUUCUUGCAUUGAUCGAUUCUCGAAUUGGGUGCCAUUAUCCAUUAUUAGCACCCUAGGAAUACCGAACUGGCAGACGAUGGAUUUCCAGAGAAAUUGCUUUACCCUCCGGCCAGUGAUAAUCGCCACAAGCUCGGCCUCCACCCACUUAGUAAAGUAGUCAAUGAUUGCUAUCAAGUAUUUGUUAUGUCUGGCUUCUAGUGAGAAGGGUUCGAGGAUAUCAACUCCCCACUUGACAAAUGGACAAGGCGACGCCAGGUGGGCAAGUUCGAUCGCCGGGGUGUGAACUAGGUUUGAAGUCCUUUGGCAUCUCUCACAAGUCUGGACUAGUUGCACAACAUCGCUUAUCAUUGUUGGCUAGUAAUACCCUUGCUGAAGUGCUUUAUGGGAAAGAGACUGAGCUCCAAUAUAACUGCCACAAAUUCUCUCGUGUAUCUCUCUCAGGAUGUAGUAGGCCUCGGCAGGUUCAACACAUCUCAGCAGUGGCUGGGUGAAGGACUUCUUGUAGAGGUCCGGGCCAACCAGUAGGAACUUGGUAGCCUGACCCUUGAGUUUUCAGCUCUCUUGUUCCUCCUCUAGUAGCCAUCCCUUGAUUAGAUGUGCUAUGAUAGGAUCCAUCCAACUUUCUACCUUGUCCAAGCAAAGUUGUUCUGCUUCUGUCUCUAUGCUUCUCUCAGGUAGUGACUCCAUGUAGAUAACCUGAGAAUUCUUGGGGAAGGAAGAAACAAUUAUCCUUAAGAGAGCAUCCGCCACGACAUUCUAUGCUCGUAGGACAUGGUUGAUUUUCACUACUCGAAAUCGUGCCAUAAGAUCCUUGGUUAUCGCCAAGUACUGGGCCAUAACUUCCUCUCGGGCCUCGAACUCUCUUGUUACCUGUUGUUCAAUCAAAUUCGAGUCAGAAUAUACCUCUAGAUCCCUAACUCCCAUCUGCUCUGCUAGUCUGAGUUUGGCAAUAAGCGCCUCGUACUUAGCCUCAUUAUUAGAGGCAUUGAACUUGAAGUGGAGGGCAUACGGCCAAGCCUGGCCAUCGGGGCCCUGGAGCAACAAUCUAGCACCAUUGCCCCAAAUGCUAGAGCUUCCAUCCACAGAGAGAGUCCAGGUCUAGGAAACCCUUUCAUCUUCAUCCUCCGGUAGAGUGCCUUCAACUAUGAAGUUCGUGAGAGCCUGUGUCUUAAUGGUUGGUCAAGGAUGAUAGUUGAUGUCGAAAGCACUUAGCUCUUCCGCCCAUUUGAGCAUCCUCCCAGACAAGUCUGACUUUCCCAACACAUGCCUUAACGGCUGACUAGAUAGGACAAUAAUGUGGUGUGCCUCAAAGUAGGGUCUUAGCUUUCGAGCAGAGAUGAUUAGGGCAUAGGCCAACUUCUCUAUCGGAGUGUAGCGAAUCUCAGCCUCAACCAACCUCUUGCUCACAUAGUAGACCGACUGCUGAACUUUGUCCUCUUCUCGCACCAGAACUAAAUUGACAGCUUCGUUUGAAGUAGCCAGAUAAAUAUAUAGUGACUCCCCUAGCUGUGGCUUAGCCAGGACUAGGGGGAGACUAGAUACCGCUUUAGCUGCUCAAACGCCUCUUGGCAUUCUUCUGUCCAUGCGAAAUUCUGGACUUGAGUCGAGGCCUUAAAAAAUGGUAAUCUCUUUUCUGCGGACCUUGAUAAGAAUCUCCCCAAUGUUGCCAUCCUUCCAGUUAAUCUCUGCACCUCCUUGAUACUUCGAGCAGGAGGCAUCUCCAGGAUGGCUUUUAUCUUCGAGAGGUUGGCCUCAAUUCCUCAGUAGUGCACCAUGAACCCUAAGAACUUAUCAGUCGUAACCCCGAAUGCACACUUGGCUGGGUUGAGCUUCAUCUGGUACUGACGUAAGGUCUGAAAGCACUCCUCCAAGUCAUUUGGAUGUUGCUAAGCCAAGAGACUCUUAACCAACAUAUCAUCCACAUAAGCCUCCAUGUUUCGACUGAACUGAGCUUUAAACAACUUGUUGACCAACCUCUAAUACAUAACUUCGGCGUUCUUAAGCUCGAAGGGCAUAACUCGGUAACAAAAGGUGGCCUUGUCUAUAAUAAAAGCAGUCUUUUCCUAGUCAUUAGGGUGCGGUGGAAUUUGCCCUAGAAUGCAUCAAAGAAACUCAUCAAUUGGCACCCCGUUGUUUUGUCUAUCAACGCAUUAAUUUUGGGUAAAGGGUAACUAUUCUUCGGAUAGGCUUUGUUGAGAUCCUUAAAAUCAAUAUAGAGCCUCCAUUUUUCCAACCCCUUGGAGACGAGAACAAUGUUAGCUAGCCACUCUGGAUAGUCAACCUCCGGACGUGAUUGGCCUCGAUAAGUUUUUCUACCUCAGCCUUUAUAGCUUUAGGCCCACUUCGAGACAAACUUCCUCUUCAUUUGCCUUACCGGCACACAAUCUGGGUAGAGCCUCAAAUGAUGGGUCAUGAUAGUCAAGUCUAUUCCAGGCAUGUCUAGUGUACCAUGCAAACACAUUGCGAUACCUUCGUAAGAGUGAUAGGACUUCAGAUCGCAAUGGCUCAUGUAACUUAUAACUGAUCUGCACUUUCUGAUCAGACUCUUCCCUUAACGAAACUUCCUUUAGCUCAUCCACUGGCUCUGAGGUCUUUGGCUCCUCCGGACCCUCCAAGAUGAAACUGGUGAACACGCUAGGAGGGGCACUAGAACUCUGCCCCACCCCCCUCAGUGGCCUUUGUUCUGCUCCUAUAUUUGGGGCCCUUGCCUAUUCUAACUCUAUCUGGCCUUAACCGACUUGAGGAAAAGCAUCUUGAUUCGACCUUGAGUUUGACUCUGACCCCUUUGCAAUAGUAGCAGUCAAGAAAGUCACAUAGCAUUCCUUUGCUUGCCAUUGGUCUCCUCUUACCUUGCCAAUCCUGCCUGGAAUAGGAAAUUUCAACACCAUGUGAUACGUGCUCGGUGCCGCCCUCAGAGCAUUAAGCCCAGACCUACCAAGGAUCAUAUUGUAUGUUGAGGACACAUCAGGAACCAAGAAGUCCAGCGUUACUUGGGACUUGCGAGAGCCACUAUCGACCCUCAGGGGCAUCCAGAUCAGCCCCUCUGAAUGUAUCACCAUUCCAUCAAAACCAACCAACGAGAGUCGAAUUGGCCUUAGCUGAUCAAGCGUAAACUCCAUUCCCAGGAACACCUUUUGUAGAGAAUCUCCGAAGAACUGUCAGGGUGCACAAGGAUUUGCCUUAUCUCCCUUUCCUACUUGAGCAGUGAUCACCAGAAGGUCUGAGUAGUUGGGAUGGCUUGAAAGAUCCUCCUCGAAGAAAGUGAUGAUCACCUUAUCCUUUAUCGCAUUAUUGGGAGUGGUGGAGUUUAACCUAUUCUCGACCCCCAACCAAUUAUCUUGAGGCUCGAGAACUGUUCCCGCUGCCAAUGUGUACAAAAUAAACUUCUGUCCUAGCUCUUCGGCAGGUUGUUUUCCCUCUCUUCAGGGCGGUGUCCGAGUUCGCUCUCGGAAGUGAUCACGAGUAGGGGACCUUCCCCUAUUCUUCGGCUUGGACUCUACUUUGCCCGAGCUCACACCUCCUCGACCAAUGAAAUUAUGGAGGUAACCCCGGUUGAUAAGCUCCUUAAUCUCUUCUUUUAACUGGAUGUAGUCAUUUGUAUCAUGGUCGUGGUCGCGGUAGAAUUGGCAAUAUUUCUUUUUGCUUCGAGUGUUAGGCGAAGAUUUCAGCGGGGGAGGAUGCUGUAGAUAAUCCUUAUCCUCCAAUGCCAGUAGAAUUUCUACUCGACUUGCGUUGAGGGGAAUAUAACUCACCGAGUUUCCACGGGCACCCUGAAAACCCAGACGAUCUCGGGUUCGGGAGGGGCGAUAGUCAAUCUUUUGUUCUACCAUUGGCCUUUUCUUCUCUUUCUCUCCUUCCUUCCUGUCAGGCUGUUUAGCCUGCUUCACCUUCAUCAUUUCUUCAACGUUGAUGUACUUGUUAGCCCGGGCAAAGACUUCUGUGAAGGUAUGAGGUGGAGUCUUGGCCAAUGACUGAAUGAAUGACCCAGCCCUCAAGCCAUUCUGGAGAGCCACCAUUGUAAUCCACUGAUCAAACUCAUCGAUGCUCAAAGCCUCAUUAAACCUAGCCACAAAAUCCCUUAGGGACUCACCUUAGUUUUGCUUAACGUUAACCAAAGCCAUAAAAACUUCCGGUGACGCUUCAAGGGAGUAUAAUGGGCUAGAAAACAUGUCUUUAAUUCUUCCCAGUUGUUGAUAGAACGAUGGGGAAUGCAAGAAUACCACGUCCAGGCAUGACCUCCCAAAGUAACCGAAAAGGCUCGUCAUCACAUCUCGUCUGACCCCGAUUGCACUAGCAUGUGAAAAGAGAAGAGCUCUACAUAACAUAGGGGUCUGUGUUUCUGUCAUAGAGCUUGAUGGACGGGAUACAAAAUCGCUCCGGAGGAACCUUUGCCAUGAAGUUCUUACUCAAGGGUUGGUUAAAACCGAAGUGGGGCAGCUUCUCCUUCCCUUCUUGAGCUCCUGGACCUACCGCUCCAGAAAACGCAACCGCUUCUCCUGCGAGAUCCUUCCUUAUCGCGAGGGAGAAGAAGUGGAUCUUGCUACUUCAGAGGGAUGGAUUUCCUGAUCUGACUGGUGGGAUGGACAAAGCUCCCUAGUAGGAGGAGAUGACUGGUGCUCCUCCCGAUGAGAGGGCACCUAUAG